rnacentral:snoRNA from 1 species
GGUUCACAUUGGAGUUGUGUCUUGGAUUUGUUUUCUGUGUCCCUGUUGCACACUCACGUGAUCCGAGA